rnacentral:rRNA from 1 species
GUCGAGAAUAUUUGGCAAUGGGCGAAAGCCUGACCAUGCGACGCCGCGUGCGGGAUGACGGCCUUCGGGUUGUAAACCGCUGUUACGAGGAACGAACGCCUGUGCUGUGAAUAAUGGCGCAGGUCUGACGGUACCUCGAGAGAAAGCCACGGCUAACUCCGUGCCAGCAGCCGCGGUAAUACGGAGGUGGCGAGCGUUGCUCGGAUUUACUGGGUGUAAAGAGCACGUAGGCGGUCUUGUAAGCCUUUCCUGAAAGGCUCCGGCUCAACCGGGGCAGUGGGCAGGGGACUGCAGGACUAGAGGAUGGAAGAGGCAAGCGGAAUUCCCGGUGUAAGGGUGAAAUCUGUAGAUAUCGGGAGGAACACCAGUGGCGAAGGCGGCUUGCUGGUCCAUUUCUGACGCUGAGGUGCGAAAGCUAGGGGAGCAAACAGG